UACGUAGGGUGCAAGCGUUGUCCGGAAUUAUUGGGCGUAAAGAGCUCGUAGGCGGUCUGUUGCGUCGGCUGUGAAAACCCGAGGCUCAACCUCGGACCUGCAGCCGAUACGGGCAGACUAGAGUUCGGCAGGGGAGACUGGAAUUCCUGGUGUAGCGGUGAAAUGCGCAGAUAUCAGGAGGAACACCGGUGGCGAAGGCGGGCCUCUGGGCCGAUACUGACGCUGAGGAGCGAAAGCGUGGGGAGCGAACAGG
rnacentral:rRNA from 1 species